GAGGGUAUAGCUCAGUGGUAGAGUGCUUGCUAAGCAUGCAUGAGAUUCUGGGUUCAAUCCUCAGUACCUCCG
rfam:Camelus ferus unplaced genomic scaffold scaffold1676, whole genome shotgun sequence.